rnacentral:lncRNA from 1 species
CUUGACUCGUUGUGCUGUAACAAAUUUUCGUUGUGCUGAGUUGAUUGAAUUGCUUUUUUAUAUGUUCCUGUGAACUUUUAGGAGAAUAUUAAUUUCAUGCUCCUUUGAUUUCUUGCUAAUCAUUUUAUGCAAGUCUGUGAGGUUCUUUUGCAAAUUGCAAUGUUCCAAAUGGAAAAUUUGGGGUUAACUUUUUUUCCAGCUUUCCUCUCUGUGGACCAUGUUCUCCUCGAACCUCUCAUUUGGACCUUUAAGACAGAUUGCUAGUAAGUAAUCGGAAAUUAAUUGAAGCAGCAGUUAAAUUGGGGUUUGCAACAACUAAAAUUUUGAUCAGGCUCCUUUAUCACCUGGCAGUGUGUUUUUUAUUACAUCUUCGUGUAGAAUUGUGCGACUUCAGUUAGUAAAUACCUAUUUGGAAUCUUGUUCAUCCUGGAGUCCAUGCCUAUUGGUUCAAUCAAUUCUAAUCGAGUACAUGUAGGGUAGUCUUGUCAAGUCAUUUCAUUAUUCGAAUGUACCACUACUUUUGUACAUUCUGGGCAUUGAUAUGUGGUUGUAAAUGCAGAAUGGUAUAAGUGGGUCUUUGAACAAAUUAUUCAUCAUUGUUAGGUGUUUGGUGAAGUUGCAGAAGGCCUUGAGACAUUAACUAGGAUUAAUGAAGCCUAUGUAGAUGAGAAGGGGAGACCCUAUAAGAACAUCAGGUUCAUUCUUAUUCCACUCUCUCGCUCUUUGAAUUACCUUAUUCACUCUCUUGUUUAUUUCCAGUAUGGUUCCCUAUUGUUUUGAGCAGGAUCAGGCACACAUAUAUAUUGGAUGACCCUUUUGAUGACCCUCCCCAGCUAGCUGAGUUGAUUCCUGAUGCUUCUCCUGAAGGAAAGCCGAAAGAUGAGGUGCUGACUGCUUAAAGAUUUUAUUAUCAGUUAGACUCAGAAUAAAAUAUGAUCCCAAAUACUCUGCCAUUUCGAAUGCACGAUUACAUUAAUAUAUAAUUAUCACCAACUGCUUCAUAAAUCGGCAUCUCUUUAAUCGUAUUUAUAGAGAUUGAAGUUGGACAAGAAUUCACUGAAUAUGCUGCCAAAAUUUGCUGCUUAAUGAGUAAAUAUCUGAUAAAAUGCAAGGAGUGGUUUAUCUCUAUGACAGCUAGAGGUAAAUUAGUUGUGUUUUUCUAGUUCUAAGUUUCUUGAAAGAAAUGCUGCAUGAAAUUAGUGUGUGUGCUCUGCCAUUUCUUUUACCCUCUUAGAAGUUAAUUAUUUAGAAUGAUACAUGUCUGUCUAACAGCAUAUGGCUUGUUUGUGUAUGUCGGAAGCAGGUGGUCGAUGAUGUGCGACUUGAAGAUGAUUGGGUACCUAUGGAUGAGCAACUAGGCCCGGCUCAGCUUGAGGAGGCUAUUCGUGCUAAGGAAGCACACUCCCGUGCAGUUGUGCUUGAGAGUGUAAGUAAAUCUGAGAUGUUUAGUACCCUUUUGUUGAUGGUUGUUCGAGCUUCUCAUGCUGUAUCCAGAUGUUGUCUUCAUCUUCUUAACAAAGAAUCCUCUUCUCUUUAUCUAAAUUACAGAUUGGGGAUAUUCCUGAUGCUGAGAUUAAGCCUCCAGAUAAUGUGCUCUUUGUUUGUAAACUGAAUCCAGUUACCGAAGUGAGUUCACUGAUUGACUAGUAGGGGGUGAUUUCUCAUAAUCAUAUUGAAAUUUUUCUUUACCACACAUCAUUAUUGACUGAUGGAUGGAUUUUCCUUUUCUUUAUGGUUAUUGCCUGUCACUACACUUUAUAUCUGAAUUCACUGUCAAAUCCAUUACUUGAUGCAGGAUGAGGACUUGCAUACAAUCUUUUCACGAUUUGGAACCGUGGUAUCGUAAGUACAUCUUCACUUGCCUGUUCUAUUUUUUCUGUUCAACGCUUCUGGCGGUUGCUUUGGAUGGCUGAUUCUUAAUGCAAAGCUAAUAAUGACAAACUUGACAGGGCUGACGUCAUCCGUGAUUUUAAGACUGGAGAUAGUUUAUGCUAUGCAUUCAUAGGUAAAUUUAUUCUGUUCUGGAAUUGUCUUUCUUCAAUUGACUUUCUAGGCUGAGAAAAAUCAAAUGACUUUCUGAAGAUUAGCACAAAUACGAUGGUAGAUAACCCUGUUGAUAUGAGAAAGGAUGACAAAGCAACAAGGACUGUGAAUGAACAAUAUGAGAAAUGGGUCAAUAUGAAGUUCUUUAUUGAUCGCGUUUAGCUUUGAAGAUUUUCACAAGAUUUCAGAUCUCUCGUGUUAGCUCUUACUUAUACAUUCAAUUAAUUUGCUCUUCAAGCGUACCAGCUAUAAUACGGAUUGCAUACAACAAAGGACCUAAGCCUCAUCUUAAUAUAUUGGUCUGCUAUAUAGAUCCUUUUAGUUAUUGUGGUCGCUGUUGUAUCAAGUCAUAUUCUAUAUCUUUCUUCAUCAUCUCCUUCCAUAUCUUUUUCAUACUUUCCCCAACUCUUUCAACCCAAAUCUUGAUCCUAUAGUAACAUGUCAUCUGAGCAUCCAAAGUCUUUUGUCUUACGUAUCAAAAUCAUCUUAGACGAGUUUCUCUUAUCUCAUCCUUCAUUGGGGGCAAUAACCACUUCUUUCCCCAAUAUUCUUAAUAAAAGGCACUCCAUAUAAAAAAAGAAAAAGAAAAAUCUAACUUCUUCAUCCUUUAAUUUCAUUUCAAAUUAUGCCAAAAAAAGAUAAUAUCUAGUAUUUAUGUACAAGAAUGGUAAAUUGCAUCAGUUUUGUCACAAUCAAGUUUACCAACUUUGAUCGGAAUCUGACCUUUUUUUUUUUUUUUUUUGCAAUUAAUGCGUGUCAGUGACUAGAUGAAAUGUAUUUUGUUUAAGAAAAUCUGAUGGUUAUGUGAAAUUCGACAUUAAAUCUGUGCACAAUGAAAAUUGUAAGAGAUGCAACGAUGUCUUAUAAGAUCUUUAAUCUCUCAUAAGCCAAAGAUUCCAUUCUUUGGUUCUUGUCUUAUUUAGUCCUGUGUCGCAUAACGAUUCUGACAAAAGGAUGAGUUGAACUGACAAUAAUUAUGUUAAUGUUCCUUUGCCAGAGUUCGAGAACAAAGAUUCAUGUGAGCAGGCAUAUUUUAAGGUACAUUGAUUCAAAUACCUGUACAAGUUUCCAUAUUUCGGUCCUAUAUGUUCCAUUUGAUUAACUUUUGUUUCUUGUUUAGGGGUUUUCAUGCAUUUGCGCAUUUUAUUUCUCUGUAUGUGGUCAUAACUUUCCUGAAAUUGUUCGUUUCUUUAUCCUUUUGAAUUUUAAGGCAGUGUUGUUCCUCUCUUUCCUUUAUUGUGCACAAUAGAGUAGAUGAGAAUGUUUCUUUAUCGUUUCUACCUUCUACUUCCACCCAUUGCAUUUCCUCCCUAGAUAUACCAAGAGAAAAGGAGCUCAAAAAUUUAAUUCUGUGGGCAUCUCAUCCUGAAAAGGGUGAACAUGAUGAGGGUCUAUGAAUCUGCUUCAAUUCCGUGUGGAAACAUCACCACUAGCAUUUGUGUCCUUCUGAGUGGAGAUACUAUUUAUGGUCAUUCCAAAAGAAGCCUUUCUAAGUGAAACAAGAGUCAUUGUAUUGGGAACUUAAACUUUGCCUAAUAGCUUUCCAGGUUGACGUACCUGUGUGGGAAGUAUUACCAAAUUGUGCAGGAGAAAGCUCUCUGGCUGAAUGGAGUUCCAUCUUAGCAUAGUCUAUAUCUUAACAAAAUAUAUAGCUACCUUUUUUCAAGUUCUGUUGGGUUCUAAGAGAAGAGCUACUCCUCCGUGGUAAUUAUUGAAAGAGACGAUAGAACUGGUUAUUCAGAAGCCCAUUAGAUCACCACCCAUCUUGUUUAAAAAAAUUAUACGUAUCAUUGCUGGAUUGAGAUUAUCUUGACAGGUAACCUGUCUAAUCCUCUGCCAACCAAUGUGUCUCCUUCCUUUCCAUAUUACUUCUGCCCAUGCUUCAGUGCGCAAUAUUUAUAAAUUGGAAACCAGAUUGAGUAGUGGUUCUUAUAUCAUUGGAACCUUCAGCCACUAGAGCUUUGUUCAAGUACACCUCAAUAUGAUCUCGCAGCAUCUCCGCGCUUCAAAAGUUUCACCACUUCCUUUCUUGACUAGGUGGAAUUUGGAAUGCUAACUUCAAUUUCCCCAAAAGUGGAGAGAAUGAGGUUCAUAGGAUGUUGUGAUGCAUUCUUGGCAUGUGCUCUCCUUUAAGAAUUGGAGUUUCUCUAUUCAUCUGCAGAUUGAUGGUUCUCUUUACAAGUACAAAGAAUAAGAACAACCCUGAUUCUCACUUCUUGAGUGUAGAAAAUCUAUGCAAACACCUCCUGAGAGCUUCUUAAUCCAUGCUAUAUUUAUCCUCAUCAAAGCUGUCUGGCCAAUAGUUGUCUAUAAAAAUUGAGGUAUCCUAUGCGAUGUCACUUACCUUCCUCGUUGCAAAGGGAUCAUUCCUCGAUUAUUGUGAUUCCACUUCAGCAAAUUUAACUCUUAGGUCUCAUACAACCUUAAAGUAGGCAGGGUUGCAUCAAAACUUCAAAGAGCUAGGGAUUUACACUAGCUCCAGAAGACGAUUGGGUCAUUGGCGAGGACAAUUUGGAUGAUGUUUUCUCUAUCUUCCCUUCUUGUCAUGGCAUUUGAGACUUUUGUUCUUCAUCUCAAUGAAGUUAUUGCUUGAAGUGCCACUUUCAAGAGCAACAAGAGGAAUGAAAUGAAGUAGAUGAGAGGUUGAGGAGGUUGAGGGUACUUAUUUCUUAGGGUGUGUUUGUUUUAACAAAAAAUGCUUAUUGGAGGAAAAUGUUUUUGUUAAAAUAUUUAAAAAUAAAUCGCACCUUCAUCUUACAGUUUAAGUUUUUAGAACAAUAGACAGUGGUCCCACAAAUUCUCCUAUAGCAUCAAAGCUGAAGGUCCUGAGUUCAAAUCUUUGUAGGCCCCAUUUCCCUUCCCAGUUAAAUAUGUCCAUGCUUAGUAGUUGGCAAAAAAAAAAAAAAAAAAAGACCAUACUUAGUGUGGGGGAGAGUAUUAAAGUAAUUAAAUAUUAAACUCACGUCUUCAUCUAAUAGCUUGAGCUUUUAGUAUAAUUGAUAGUGGUAUUACAAAUUUUCAUAAUUUUCUAUGAAAACUAUUUUCAAGAAAAAUGAUUAGUCUUCAGUUGUUUGGAGGUAUACAGAAAAAACUUUGCAAUGUUUAGAUCUUACUUUUAAAAGUUAUUCUCUCCAUUAUAGUUGUAUUUGUUCCCAAUAUAAGUGUGAGAUAUUAUGGGACCACUGCCAACUGUUCUUAAAGCUUAAGCUGUUAAAUGAAUACAUAGUUUGAUAUUCAAAUAUUCUAUCACUUCCCCUUACGCUUAAUUUUCACUCUUAGUCAAGUACUAAGUGUGCAUAUAUUUGAUCAGGGAAGCAAAUGGGGUAUGGUAUCUCCAGCUUUGAUACCAUGGGAGAUUUCAUGGGACUAUCGUCAAUUGUUCUAAAAGCUUAAAUUGUUAGAUAAAGGCGUGGUUCAAUAUUCAAAUAUUCUUUCAAUUAGAUACUAAGAGGAUAUUGAAAUCCUUGUCUAAAAUAUUACUAAUAUAUGAAGCACAAAUUUCAUGUUUUGUUAUCAAAAUGAAGCACAAAUUUCAAGUUUUAUUAUUAAAAUGAAGCAACCUAAUGAAAGUUGCCAAAAAAAUAGAAAAAACAAAUAAUUGACGAAGUUAAUUUCUAAGUGCUUAUAAAUCCUCUCGUGAGAAUGGCUCUUCAUAUUGUGUGGAAAAGGAGCUUGGGAAAAUGAUUUGUUCCAUUUGGAGUAAUCAUUUUCCUCAAAUUUAAAAACAGUUGUUUUCCUUGACAUAAAAUCUUUUUUGUUGGUUAUCCACUUUUUGGGAACCAAACACAUGAAAAGUUAGGAAAAUCAUUUCAUGAAAAUCAUUUUCAUAAAAAUAAAACAGCCUUUUAAAUUCACUUAGUUUUCUGCCAAAAAUAGAACAUUAAUCAACAUUGCCUGCUUCCGCUUCAGUAGGCCUUUAAUAGUUAGUUAUCUUAUACUUGGCUCAACUUACUUGGUUGUCUUGUCUAGCAUCCUAUUUUGAACAUCUACAACUGUCUACAGAAUUUUGCACUUCAAAGAAUUUUAUUGUUGGGUGCGAAAAAAUCUGUGUCCGCAUUAAUUCUGUUCCCCAGGUAUAUAGAGUAGAUUGCUAUCUUGCUUAUAUGAGCUCUUCUGACCUUUUUCUUUUUUGGUCGAAGAGUUCUUCUGACCUUGAAAAGUGAUAAUUAAACUUGAUUUGGGGUAAAUUUUCUAGUCAUAAUUAAGAAUACCAUGAAAAAGCUAACUUGAACAGGAAUUUUGAAGAAAGAACUUGACCUGUGCAUGGUUGGGGCCAUAAUGCUAGAUUACUUAAACGAAUGAACAGAGCCAACAGGGAAAAAAGAAGAAGAAAACAUGUAAUUUUUAACUAUUAGAUUAGGCUCAGGAGCUUUUAGUUUGAGUGGCACUGAUUCAGUCCAUUAUUCAAGCUACUCAAACUCAAAACCCAUUCAUCUGAGCUGGAGUAAUAUGGCCGCCAAGCUUGAGCAUGUCAUGAGUAACGUGACUCACGUACAACUUAUUUUGUGUAACUUUCUUUAUGUCGUCAUAAAAAUGUGAAACCUACACGUUUUUUUUAGCCAUGGAGAUGCGUCUGCAACAGUUAACUGCUUUCAUAGGAUAGAAAGGUAUAUAUUCAUUAUAUCUCCUCUACCAAGGAAGUAUUUAAUAUGUCAAAAUGGCUCAUUCUGGAAGAGCAAAUGAAGGGGAAAGAUGACAAUUAUGGAGAUCCCCUUAGAAAAGCAUGAACUUACACAUUUGUUUAUCCUAAUAUUGGGAUGGGUGACUCGAUUAUAUUCUUAAUUCUGAUUGCUUUUGAUUGUAACUAGAAAGUGUUAGCAUCACUCAUCCUCUAUGAUUUAAGUAGCCAUCUUUAAUGUGUCAAAUGAGUUCUUGUUGCCUGUGACUUAUCUGUUUUUUCUUGGUCUGCUAUUUCAUGGCAGAUGGACAAUGCCUUGAUUGAUGAUAGGAGGAUAAAGGUGGAUUUCAGCCAGAGUGUUGCAAAACUUUGGUCCCAGUUCAAACGAAAAGAUAGCCAAGCAGCUAAAGGUAAGGAUGCACUCAAACUUAGUGGAGUUCCUUACUGCUUUCAGGCUUUGAUUUUCUUGAAUGGCGAUGUUCACGUCCAACUUUGCUGGGUGGUGGGAGGAAUUGAUGCAUUUUCUCUUUUAAGUGCCCUUGGUAGAGGACUUGUACAAGUUCUCUGUGGGUAAGGUUGGUAGUUUAUGAUAUGCAGCUUUAGGAGUUGUCAGCAGUGGCAAGGUCUUGAGACCAUUGUGUUUCACUGAGUUAAAAGUGUCUAGGUAGAAUUUCAGGAGAAAAUAGAACGGUGUGCAUGAAAACUUGCAAAUAGCUUUUUUAGUGGUCGAACAAGCACAUGUACUGCAAGAAGUAUUCCAUGCUGAGCUGCUUCAAAAAUAUGUGAGCUUGGAUCUGUUAAAUUAGUAAAUGCAGGUUAUGUGGGCCUUAAAUUGAGCCUAGUUUUAUCAUGAUAGAGUCAAACAUGUUGUUUUGCAUGUUCUUUUGUUCUCCCCAACAAAAUAUGCGACUCGAGCUGUCAGAUUGGAAAUUUCCUUUUGUUUGCUUUAUGGAAGCUUUAACUUUUCUUUGCUACUCAUUCAAAUACAAUGUUUUCCUGCAUGAGUUCUAGGAUUUGAUGGGGACUAUGCUUAACUCCUUCAAAUUUUAUUAUAUGUGAUAAUUAACAUUGGUUGGAUCCUAUGGUUAAUGUGGAUAUAUGAUAAUCAACAUCGUUGUUGUAUUUAUUAUUUCUUAUAAUGAAGAGCUCUUUGAUUAUUGGCCGUAGGAAAAGGUUGCUUUAAAUGUGGGGCUCCUGAUCACAUGGCCAGGGAAUGUCCUGGAAGCUCCACUAGACAACCACUUUCAAAGUACAUUCUGAAGGAGGACAACGCACAGAGGGGUGGAGAUGACUCUAGGUUUGUUCCUGACAGUGCCCCUCCUCCCUUUUCCCUCCUUCCCUCUCUCUCUCUCUCUCUCUCUCUGUGGAUAUGCAUGUGUGGCCGGCAUGCAUUUGUGAGCCUUCCCAUGUGUGAUUCUGACAGUCUUAUUCCUCUUUAGGUAUGAAAUGGUCUUUGAUGAAGAUGCACCAGAAAGUCCAAGUCAUGGAAAGAAAAGGCGAGGACGAGAUGACCGGGAUGAUAGACAUAAGAUGAGCAGGCAAAGUGUAGAAGAAACAAAAUUCAGUGAUAGAGAGGGAAGGCACUCAGUCGAUAAGCAUAGGCAGGGUGAAAGAAGUAAGCAUAGAGAGGAUGAGAUGAGUCGAGACAGUAAAGCUAGUGAGGCUGGUAGGAGAAGGAUUGACAGGGAUUUUCUGGAAGAGGAAAGAGAUGGAGAGAAAUAUACGGAGAGUCACAGAGACAGAGAUGGUAAGAGAGGUGAUUAUCAAGAUUAUAGAAAGGGAAGAGCAGAUGUUCAGACUCAUGGAGACAGGAGAGGUGAUGAAAACUAUAGGAGAAAGAGUGCUGCUUAUGAUGAUGGCCAUGAGGGUGGGGGAGCUGCUAGGAGAAAAGAUUCCAAUGAUGAUCACCAUGCAUAUAGGAGAGGAUAUGGAGAAUCUAGGAAGGGAACUAGAGAUGAAGAUGACGAUGGACGAGGAAGGAGGGAUGACCCUAGUUAUAGGAGAAGCAGUGGACACAAGGAUAGCUCCAAUGGUGGAAGGGAAGAGCAAAAGUAUAGAAGUCGAGAGACAGAUGGCAAAAGUCAUCGGGACAGAAGCCAUCGAGGCGAGAGCAGGAGAUGAAGGGCCGGCCAGAGUACAAAGACAUAUCUGAUGAUGAACAGGUCAAUGACAAUUCUUCUACUUGAGAGAUCCCUUGUAGGGAUGGGAUGCCUAAUGCUGUCCCGUCGGCGUGCUGCAUGACUUUAAAUAGCUGAUGGUGACCAUAUCCCAAAAUUCUGGUUUUGAUUGGGUCAUUUUGCACUCAUCAGUCUCUCUCUUUGAUUAUGUCUCGUGGUAAAGGUUUCGGAAAAUGACCGUAGAUCACGGAUGCAUUUGUUUUGCGGAUAAUGAAAAAUUCGAAAAAUAUUUUCUUAAAAUUGAUGUCUUGUGUUACUACUUAUAAAAAUGAAUAAAUGAAAAUAUUUAGACCUUAAUUAUUAUCGAUAAUGAAAAAAAGAUUAUUAGUUAAUUAUUUCAAGCAAUAUGAAUGAUAACUUUUAGAAAAAUGCUUUUCAAAUCAUUUAUUUUUCUUGAAACUAAUGAAGCUCACGUGUAAAUAAAUCUGCCCAUCGUGAUCAGUGUUGGGGCAGUAGAACGUAAAUACAUCUUUUUUAACUCUAGUUCAAUUGGAAAACGUCCUUGAAGCAAAUACAAGACGGGCUAAAGAAGCAAGCGAGAAAGUUAUAUACCCUAGUGUCACGUGUCGAUCUUUUUCGAUCGAUCAAACACCGCGCGGCCUUAGGAUUGGUGAUCCCAAGUCAGCCUUAGAUACAAACACGCUCGAACACAAGAACCGAAUGGGCAAAGGGAGUGUAUAUUGCUUGUGAACGAACUGUUUACAAAGUGGAAGAGGGAUCCUUAUUUAUACAUGAGCGGGUCGCAUUUCAGCCGUGGAUCGUCCCUCCGAUCCAAUGGUUCAUUUUGAAUCCAUAUCAUCAUUACAAGCUAUACAACAGGCUACUUGAAGGCUACUCGAUGGUCUGCACACGGCAGGCCCUUGGGAAGUCCAUGGGUCGCACGGGAGCCCAAGGGUCGUGCGCGCCAGGCCUUGGGCAGACCAUGAGCGUGUGUUAAAAGCAAGAUCAGUGUUGCAGGUUCGUCUGACAUGUGACCGGCCGAACCGUCAUGGGCUGCUCGAAUAUCGUUUGUGGGUCGCUCAUGGGUUACGCAUGGGCCUUUCGCUCGUUUUGCUCAUGGGUCGAUCUCGAGCCACCCUUUGCGCGUGACACGGCCCGUCACGGACGAUCUUGGAUCAUGCUUUAUCCGUGGACCGUGUCAUUCUCCCCCACCUAAUCAGGCGACGCUUAGGCGACGCCCUCGUCGCGUCCGUGGCAUGGAAGGCUUCGAUAUGCUUCUUGAAUUGCCACAGAGCCUCGGAGGGUUCCCAGCUUGCUUCACUCUUAGGAAGGCCUCUCCACCGGACGAGGUAUUCUUCUUUGGUGCCCGAUACUUCUUCCGUACGAUCCGAUCAGCCAUGAUACACUCAACAUCCCGAUCAUAGGAGGUCUUUACCCCAAGGGGCGCUCGCUGUGAUGUGCCCCAAUCCGGAUCAUCCACGUCCACAUGAAACGGUUUCAACAUGCUCACGUGGAACACGGGGUGUAGCCUGAACUUGGGCGGUAAGUCCAGCUUGUACGCCGCAUUUCCAAUCCGUUGUAUCACUCGGAAGGGGCCUUCAUAGCGACGGAUCAGCCAUUUGUUCACAUUUCUGUACCAAAGGACACGGUGCAAUUUGGCUAGCACCAAGUCCCCGACCUGAAACUCCACAUGCCGUCGCUUUUUGUCGGCCCACUUCUUCGUGCGUUUCACGGCCCUAUCCAGACACGCCCGAGCCAAAUCCGCGUGUUCACCCCAUUCCUUAGUGAGCAUGCGAACGGGCUGCUUCCUCGAUACCCUGAGGCGAGUGCGCUCGAUGUGAGCGGCUGCUGUCUGGUCACGAUCUCGAACGAGCUUUGGUUCAUGGACUCGCUCCGUUGCAUAUUGUAGGAAAAUUGGGCCACGUUGAUCAACCGUGCCCAGUUUACUUGCGUGUUGCUCAUAUAGUGCCAAAGGUAGAGUUCCAGCAACCCAUUCACCCGCUCGGUCUAACCGUCGGUCUGUGGAUGCAUGCUGGUGGAAAGGUUGAGACUCGUUCCCGGCAAUUUAAAGAGCUCGGUCCAAAAUCGUCCGGUGAAUCGAGGGUCGCGAUCACUCACGAUCGUGCGUGGAACACCCCAAUAUUUGACGACGUGCUUGAGAAAUAGCUUGGCGGCUUCUUCGGUUGGGCAUUCCUUUAUUGUUGGCACGAACGUCGCAUAUUUGGAGAGGCGAUCUACCACGACCAUGAGGGCCCGACACCCUUCGGACUUAGGCAAAUUCACGAUGAAGUCCAUGGAGACACUCUCCCAUGGACGUUCCGGGAUAGGCAACGGUUCAAGGAAUCCCGCGAGGGACCGUUGCUCUAUCUUGUCUUGCUGGCAGACAAGACAUGUCCGCACAUACGUCUCCACAUCAUCCCUCAUAUGCGGCCAAUAGUAUUGAUCCUCAACGAGCGCCAUGGUGCGGUGGAUUCCCAGAUGUCCCGCCCAUUUGGAGUCGUGGCACUCUUUUAGGAUUUCCCUUCGAAGUUUCUCAUGGAGCGACACAUAGAGUCGCCGUCCUUUGGUGUAGAGGAGGUCAUCCUCAAGCCAAAAUCUCCUCGUCAAGCCCUCUCAGGCGUAUCGAAGGAGAGCUUGGGCCGUUUAAUCAUGCUUCAAUCCCUUCUUGAUAUGAUCAACCCACGGACAACCGGGCCUGCUCACCACAUUGGCCAAUUCGAACUUCCUGCUUAAGGCGUCGGCCACGGAAUUGGACUUUCCGGGCUUGUAUUCCAAUGCAUAAUCAAACUCGGCCAAGAAGUCUUGCCACCGAGCUUGUUUCGGGCUGAGCUUCUUUUGAGUUUGGAAGUAGCUUGUAGCCACAUUGUCAGUCCUCACAAUGAACCGGGAUCCCAAGAGAUAGUGCCUCCAUGUGCGAAGGCAAUGCACCACCGCGGUCAUUUCCUUCUCUUGGACCGUGUAUCGUCGUUCCGCAUCAUUCAGCUUUCGGGACUUGAAGGCCACCGGAUGGCCUUCCUGCAUUAAGACACCACCGAUGGCAAAAUUAGAAGUAUCGGUCUCUACCUCGUAUGGCUUGGUGAAGUCGGGCAGCAUAAGAACCGGCUCCUUGGUCAUGGCCCAUUUCAACCGCUCGAAGGCCUCUUGACACCGAUCCGUCCACUCCCACGGCCUUUCUUUCUUCAGCAUGUCCGUGAGUGGCACGGUGAGGUGCAAAUAUUCCCGAAUGAAGCGCCGAUAAUAGUUCGUGAAACCAAGGAAGGAUCUCAACUUAGUCACCUUGGAUGGUGGUUCCCAAUCAACAAUGGCACGGAUCUUGGCCGUGUCUAUCCGCACACGUCCACCCCCGACGAUGUGCCCAAGGAACGGGAUCUCCUUUUGUGCGAAGGCACAUUUCUCUCGUUUCACAUACAAGUCGUUUUCCCGAAGGGUCCAAAAAACUUAACUCAAAUGUUCAACAUGCUCAUCAAGCGUCCAGCUAUAUAUCACUAUAUCAUCAAGAUAAACUACAACGAACCGAUCAAGGAACGGAUGCAGUACCUUGUUCACGAGUGUGCAAAACGUAGCCGGCGCGUUAGUCAAGCCGAAUGGCAUGACGAGGAACUCGAAUGAUUCAUAACGGGUCACACAUGCUGUCUUCGACUCAUCCCCAUCGGCGAUCCGCACUUGAUAGUAUCCCGAUCGAAGGUCGAGCUUAGAGAACCAUCGGGGCUCUCCGAGCUGAUUGAACAAGUUCGCAAUAAGGGGAAUUGGGUACUUAUUCUUGACGGUCAGCUUGUUCAAUGCCCGGUAAUCGAUACACAUACAGAGGGAUCCAUCAUGCUUCUUUUGGAACAACACCGAGGCACCGAACGGGGCCUUAGAUGGCCGAACAUACCCAGCAUCGAGCAGCUCUUUGAGCUGUUUCCUCAACUCCUCCAACUCAGGUGGGGCCAUGCAAUAGGGAGCCAUGGCCAGUGGUCAAGCAUCGAGCACCAGCUCAAUCCGAUGGUCGACCUCUCUCCGAGGAGGUAGCUUCUUGGGCAGCUCGGGCGGCAUUACGUCUUGGAAGGCAUCAAGGACUUGGGAUACUUCUCCCGGUAUCGUGUUUUCUUUCGCGCCCUCCUCCUUUAAUGCCACUGAGAAGGUCACCUCGCCUUUCUUCAGCCCUUUGGAUAGCUGCAUGGCCGAUAGCAUUUUUCGAUUGCGUCCCGAUUCGCGGUAGAUCGGGACCAUGCAUUGACACCGCUUGUCCAGGAUACAUAUGCAAUCCGCGAAGGGCAUGACACCCGCAUUUAUCCGGUCGAGAAAUCCCAAUCCGAGUAUGAAAUCAUAGUCAUCGAGGGGAAUUACCUCGAUAUCUUCUUUGCUGGUCCAAUGACCUAGAUGAAACUCCACGCCCCUGGCCAUGCCGUUGGUCGAGACUUCUCUGGAAUUCACCGUCUUGAGCCAACCGGACUCAUUUGCCUCGACCGAAAGAUGCAGCUUCUCCGUAGCCUCUUUGGAUAUGAACAGAUCGGACACCCCGGUAUCCACGAGUGCGCUCAUCGUGGUACCUCCGAUCUUCACAUCUACAAACAUCAUUCCUUUUGGUUCUUUGGCCUUCUUAGCCUUAAUUGUUCCAAGGAACCACGCCUCCUCUCGCGGCUUGUCUUCUUUGCACAAGGCUGCCAACUUCCCCCUCUUCGGGCAAUCGCGAGCCAUAUGGGGACCAUCGCAAAAGAAGCACUUGUACGUGCGCACCUUGCGUUGAUAUCCUCCAUGGCUAGACUCGAGUUGGUUCCUAUGAGGGUUCGGAGGCGGUCUGUUAGCAUUCGGUCGAGGGAACCAGCCUCGAUCUCCCCCACCAGUGGCCUUUUCUCUCGGUCGAGAGUCGAGCUUGGCCGCAUUUGCCGGCCUAUAUUCCACAAGGGACUCGGCCACAGAAGUGGCUGUAGUGAGGUCCGUUGUAUUACACCGUUUGAGCUCCUGUUUGACCCAAGGUUUGAGUCUGCUCAUGAACUGGUGGAACGCCUCCGUCUCGGUCAUGGAUGGGAUUUGGAGCAACAGUUCUAAGAACCGCUUCACGUAGUCGCGAACUCCGCCCUUCUGCUCUAGGUGCUUGAGCUCCCCUCGGGCUUCCUCCUCCGCAUAGGCAGGAUAGUAGGUUCGCCGAAAUUCCUCAACGAACCGAGCCCAAGUCACGAUAGGAUCGCCAUUCCUACCAUCCGACCGACGUCUCCACCAUAGCAGCGCAUCAUCAGCUAAAUACAUGGCUGCGGUGUUCACCCGGAUCACGUCGUCGGUUAUUCCCAUGGUCUAGAAGUAUCGUUCCAUAUACCAUAGGAAGUUAUCCACGUCCUUUGCCACUCGAGAGCCCUUGAACUCCUUCGGCUUGGGUGCAUCGGCACGGGACUGCACGAUGAUCACCUUGUUCACGCGUGCUGCUUCAAACUCCGUGAGCUUGCCCUUCAUCUCCGCCAUUUCCGCCCGCAUGGCUGCCAUCGCGGCUUCCCAAGUCUCAUUCCGCUGCUGCAGCUCAUGCAUGAAGGAUCCUUGCACCUCGACACGGAGCUCUCCCAUGUUGGCUUGGAGCUCCUGCACUUCGGCCAAGAACUCCUCCCUUCCGGCUUCCGCUCCUUUGACGGCCUGGUGCAGGUCGUCCAUCAACGCUUGGACAUCCGUGACGAUUUCUUCUAAGGCCGUCAAACGGUUGUCCAGAUCCCCCUUCGAAUCCCUCGCACACGAGGCAGCACGGGCCUUAUUUGACCGAGUAGCCCUCUCAACUAGACGCCCACGAUCUUCACGCUCAUCGCCUUGAACGACCGGAGCAUCAGCACGAGGAUCAGCCAUUUCGUUUGGGAAUGAUGGCUCUGAUACCACUUCUCACGGAUCGAUCUUUUUCGGUCGAUCAAACACCGCGCGACCUUAGGAUUGCUGAUCCCAAGUCAGCCUUAGAUACACACACGCUCGAACACAAAAACCGAAUGGGCAAAGAGAGUGUAUAUUGCUUGUGAACGAACUGUUUACAAAGUGGGAGAGGGAUCCCUAUUUAUACAUGAGCGGGUCGCAUCUCAGCCGUGGAUCGUCCCUUCGAUCCAACGCUUCAUUUUGAAUCCGUAUCAUCAUUACAAGCUAUACAACAGGCUACUCAAAGGCUACUCGAUAGUCUGCACACGGCAGGCCCUUGGGAAGUCCAUGGGUCGCACGGGAGCCCAGGGGUCGCGCGCGCCAGGCCUUGGGCAGACCAUGAGCGUGUGUUAGAAGCAAGAUCAGUGUUGCAGGUUCGUCUGACACGCGACCAGCCGAAUCGUCAUGGGCUACUCGAACAUCGUUCGUGGGUCGCUCAUGGGCUGCACAUGGGCCUUUCGCUUGUUCUGCUCAUGGGUCGAUCUCGGGCCACCCCUUACGCGUGACACGGCCUGUCACGGACGAUCUUGGAUCAUGCUUUGUCCGUGGGCCGUGUCACUAGGCAACGAGCUUGCUCCUCUUCGUGCUUAUCUUCUGCAUGACAUUGAGAACCUUUUGAUAAAUACUUGGUGAUAAAUGUGCUAUUUCUCACGCUCAAGAAGAAAAGCCUAUGGGCUAAAGAACGAAAAGAAAAACUAUAUUUUCAGUUUUCUUCCACUCGGUUGACUAGGAUCAUCAUCUAUAGUGAAUUAUUAGUUUUGAAAUAAAUAAAAUGAAUAAUUAGUUUUAAUAAAAUUGUAUUUAGCCUUCGUUCAUUUCAUGAAAAAAAAUUUUCAAAAAAAAAAUUCUGAAUUUUCUAAUAUUGAUUUUACAGAAAAUGAAUUAAUUAGGGAAAAUAUUUUCUAUGAAGGUAAAAAAAUCUUCUAAGAUAGAGGAGAAUAUUUUUCACCUUUUAGAAAAGAGAAAUAUUUUCCUCACUCAAUCCUCUUGUCUCAUAUUUACGUUAACAUUUUCAUCUUUUUUCUUUUUUUUUGCUUUUUUUUCUCAUUUAAAAAAAAAUUAAACGUUUAAAUUCUUUUCUUCUUUUUCUAGUUCCAUCUCACGGCGGGGACCAGCCAUAGACAAAUCACAAGCCCUAGCUCACCGCUCGCUUGAUCAGUGAUGAGCUCGAGCCCUAGCUCGCCACUCGCCCGAUGGACGGCGAGCGAGGGCUCCAGGCUCGCCAAUCUGGAGAAAAUACACUGCUUGUUUGCUCACCCAGUCCUCCAGAGAAAAUACACAUUCUCUGCAACUCAUAAAAGGUUGGGCCCCCUUCACUUUGGAGGACUUAUGACUUCUCAAAGUCAUCGCUCAUCUUCUUUCUUUGCCGAAGAGAAAACGCACCGAGAAAGUAGAGCGAAAGCGCAUUGCACCUUCUCUGCAACUCAAAAAAGUUGGGCCACUUCGCUUUGGAGGACUUAUAUUGGCUUGACUUGUUAAAGCCGUUGCUCAUCUUCUUUCUUUGCCGAGACGAAAACAAGCAUCUCCGAGAAAGUAGAGCGAAAGCGCAUUGCUCCUUCUCCUGCCUCCUCCGUCGCUUCCCUGAUUCCUCUUGAGAGGACCCAAGAUCAGAUUCGGGAAGGAGGACUCCACGUCUCGCUGCCAUCACAUCCGGUGAAGAUCUCGAGCUCCUCAAGGGGGAUGGAGAGAAACAGGGACUCACCAGACGCAGUGGCGACCGCGUCCGUUUGUGUCGACCGCGGCGAUCCGUCGUCAGGGGCCGAGUUCGAGGUGUUCUUGAGUUUCAGAGGCCCCGACACCCGCCUCGGCUUCACCGACUGCCUCUAUCACUCCAUGGUUGGAGCUGGGAUUCGCGUCUUCAGAGACGACGAAGAGAUCCGAAAGGGCGAAAAGAUUGGAGGCGAGCUUCUGCGUGCCAUCGAAUCCUCUAAAAUAUUCGUGCCCAUCUUCUCUAGGAAUUACGCAUCCAGCGCGUGGUGUCUUCGGGAGCUCAAGCACAUGGUGGAGUGCUCGGCCAAAGCGAACGACAAAGUGAUCCUACCCAUUUUCUACGACGUGGAUCCUGACGAUGUGAAGCUCAAAACUCCAUUAUACCUUGACGCUUUGAAGCAGCAUGAGGAGAAGUUUGGCCGUGAUGAUGUUCGCGAAUGGGAGAAGGCUCUGACAGAGGUUGCAAAAAAAAAGGGAUGGGGCUUGAAGAACAGAGGGUAAGAGUGUGGAUCUGCUUUCUCUUUUCUAUUUUCCGGGCAAUUAAAAGCGCAAUUAGUUAUAUUCAUUGGAGAAGUGCAUUUCGGAUUGAGAUGCUGACGCGUCCUCGAUGAUGCUUUCCUCUGUGUGAAUGCCAUAUUACUGCCCCCAAAACAAAGAGUGCUAUUAUCCACUGAGAUCCUUUUAGAGUUGAUUUUUUCUGCAGUUCUCUGCGAAACUGAGAAUAAGGAACAGAAUUUUUCUCUCGUUUUUUCUCUUUUAAUUACUCCUACCAAGCACUGUAUAUUAGUUAAUCCUCACUUCUUUCUUUUUUCCUUGUAAUUAUUGCCUUCCUUUCCCGAGCCACUCAUCCAAGCACAGUAUAGUGUAGAUCUGAUUCUUUCGUAAGUGGGAAUUUCCUUUUACUUAAGAUAGUUAUAUUCUUUUCAGUAAAACAUCGCUCAUUCGAAAAUCCAGCUAGUUUCGUGUCUGUAAUAAUCCUUAACUAGAGAGUUUAUCUGUCAUCCGUCUCACGCUAAGAUCUUGUGUUCAAUAUGGCAGGCAUGGCGAAAUCAUCAACGCUAUUAGGGAUGAUGUUUUGACUAAGCUGAAGAAAAGAAUGAGAAAUUUGCCGGAUCAUUUAGUUGGGAUUCAUGAUCAUGUGGAAGCUAUCAUGGACUUGUUAAACAAAGGUUCUCCUGAUGUUUGUUACCUGGUCAUCCAUGGAAUGGGUGGAAUCGGUAAGACAACUCUUGCGAGUGCCGUGUUUAAUCGAAUUUCCAAUCAAUUUCAAGGCUGUAGCUUCCUCUCGAACGUGCGCGAAUCAGCGCAACAUGGUGGAAUUAUUGGCUUACAAACACAGUUGUUAUCAGAAAUUCUCCAGGCCAAUUCUCAAGUUAUCCAUUCCGUUGAUGUAGGGAUUAGCAUGAUUAGAGAAAGGUUUCGUGAUAAGAAAGUUCUCAUUGUAUUAGAUGACGUAGAUAAGUGGGACCAACUCUCUAAAUUAGCAGAAAAGAGCAAUUGGUUUGGUCCUGGAAGCAAAAUCGUCAUUACAACAAGGGACAUCAAUUUUUUGCCGAACAAAGAGGAGGAGAAAGAGAGUAGUUGCCUAGCACAUUCUGAAGAGUUUAAGAUCUAUGAAAUGACAGAAUUGGAUUAUCCGCAUGCUCUUAAGCUUUUUAGUCAACAUGCCUUCAGGAUGGAUUCCCCACCGCCUAACUAUCUCGAUAUCUCAUACGAAAUUACUAAUAAAGCAGGCGGACUUCCAUUAGCUCUCGAGGUCAUUGGUUCCUCACUUUGUGGCGAAAGCAAAGAGUUUUGGAAAGGCAUGUUGAAGAAAUUAGAUUUGGUGCCCAAGCGGGAAGUCAUUAAUAAAUUAAGGAUUAGCUACGAUAUGUUAGAGCCUCAUCAGAAAGAGAUCUUUCUUGACAUCGCAUGUUACUUUGUUGGUGAAGAAAGAAUCUAUCCGUACUAUAUGUGGAAAGCUUCCAACUAUAUUCCAAGAUGUGAAGUACUUGUCCUUAUUCGUAUGUCUCUAAUAAAAAUAGUAGAAAUCGAUAGAUUGUGGAUGCAUGAUCAAGUGAGAGAUCUUGGAAGAGAGAUUGUCCGAUGUGAAGACGUCAAUGUUCCAGGGAAUUGUAGCAGGUUGUGGUUACCAAAGAUUGCCUUGGACGUGAUUGAGAUGAAAGAGGUAUCACUAUAGUCACCUUGCUCUUUUCCUUAGCAAUAAACCACGUAUUUGCCAACGGUUGUGGAGUUAGUUCCUCGUAGGAAAUUUUUCUUUUUUUGAUCAAGAUAAAGAAAAAAGACGAGGUUUGAAUAAGAGUUCAUUGGUGGUAAUAUCAUUAUAUAUUGUAUCAAGAUGUAAAUAAGCUAUUAGCAAAAACUUAGAGGAAUUUGUUUGUAUACGAAAAAAUUAUUCAACACAUUAUAUGAAAAUAGAUCCAGAUUGCGACUACCUAGGCUAUUAGAGCUUUCUAAGGCUGAUUUUAUUCCUUUUAGCUAAGUUGAAAACCAUUAGCAGCACUACUCUUCAAUGAGACAUCGUCCACGAGCCCGGACUUGGGAUUUGUAAUAGAUUGAACAAUUAAUAGUAGUCCGCUUUUGCGUAUGGUCCGAUAGAGCUUUCCUACAAUAUAUGGAUUUGUAACUAAUGGUCCAUCUUUAACAUGUCAAAUUAGUGUAUUAUGUAAAUAAAUCUUUCAUGUACGUUGAUCCUUUAUUUGGAAUUUACAAAGAGACCUGAAAUGAGCAUGACUACUCUGUUCUCAUCUUGUAAUAAAACUCAUAUAAAACCUAAUAAAGGGAUGCUCUGGAGCGGGCUUCAAUAAGCUCUGGAGCAAGCGGAUUUUGAUUCACAGUGUUGCAAUCAAGUUAUAAAAUCAAGACACAGUUACAAAUUGGUCUAGUAUCUUUUUUAAUGUGCUCUUUCUUAUGCAUUUAGAUAUGUACGAAGAAAUAAUGUGUGUUUCACUAUUAAACAUAAUCAAGCUUCUCAUACUUGUAUAACACCAUGUUUGUCAUCUAGUUCAAAUAUGCUCUAAUGCUUUUCCUAUCACUAGGGGACAAACAAAGUCGUAGCACUUAGACUAACGGGACUCUCCAAAGUGCACAAUUUCACGAGUGAAGAAUUUUCAAAGUUGCCGAAUCUGAAAUUCUUGGAAUUAGAGGGGGGGAACAUGGUAGGGGACUUUAAAAAUCUUCUCUCCAAGUUAAUAUGGCUCUCUUGGAGUGAUUGCCCUUCGGAAUUAAACGCGACGAAUUUAUGUCUCAAGAAACUAGCCGUCCUCAAGCUUUCAGGAAGUAAAAUUACCGAAGAUUGGGCCGGAUGGGAGCCAUGCCUGGUACAACAUCACACCUUGCCAUUUAUGUCUCUUAUUUGUCUCGCUAACCAAAUGACCCAUUUGCCUUUCUUGACUUGGCUAAUCUUGGUUUUUUUUCUAGGUGAGCGAGAACUUGAAAGUUAUACAAAUUACCAGCUGCGAAAGCUUGAAAAGGACUCCUGACUUCUCAAAAUGCUCGAAUUUGAAGAGAUUGGUUGUUGCAGGUUGUACAACCUCGCUAGUGGUUGCUGGCUCUCUCUUCGAACUAGAGCACCUCAAGUACUUGGAAAUCACGUCUCGUGGUGAUCAGCUGAGAGAGAAUUGUGACCCUUUUGUAUUAAGCGGUCCAAAAUCCCUCUCAACGCUAAAGAUAGGUAGAAUGGCAGUUCAAGAACUUCAUCAAUCCGUUGAAGAGAUGAAGGGUUUGAAGUAUUUGUCUACGGUCGGUUGUCGUUUUCCUAGAACACUUCCAGAUUGCAUCGGGAAAUUGAAAUCACUGCUUGUAUUGAAAUUAGAAAACAUGGAAAUCACAGAAUUACCUUCUUCUAUUGGGAAUCUCAAAAGGUUGGAGAUUUUAUAUCUAAAUAGGACUGCGAUAAAAGAACUACCAAGGGCCAUAGGGAUGUUGGAGAAUCUUAAAGAGUUGAGUGCUCGGUUCUGUCAAAAUCUGGAGCGGGAUAUUCCAAGUGAAAUUGGGGGUCUAUCCUUUUUGAGGAUGUUAGACCUUGGAGGAAGCAAGAUUAGGAGAUUGCCCCUAACUAUGAAUCAACUUGAUCAUCUUCAACAACUUUGUUUAGAUUUUUGUUAUGAAUUGGAAGAGUUCCCCGAGCUCCCCAUGAGUUUGAAGGAGUUGAGUUUUGCAUCUCAUUUAUUGUGGAACGCCAUUGACCUCUCGUACCUAACUAGCUUAGUUAAUCUUUAUAUAGAUGACGGGGCUCAUUGGGGGUUAAAAUUCAAAUGUGAAGCUCCAAAGAUAAAGUGGAUUGAGGAGUUAUUUAAUUUGGAGAGUUUGAUGCUCGUCGUGAGAAAUGUCACAUUUUCUCCAAUUAAUUUGGCUACUCUUUCUCGGCUUCGUAAACUUGAGAUUACUUGUGUUGGCUAUCGUUCUGUGGUGGGGCUUCCGUCCAGUCUUGAGAGUUUGUGGGUAAUCCGUGCCAGUUCUGCAAGAAAAAGGCCUCUCAUGUCCAACAGGUCAUAUCCGGGCUAUUCUGUUGUGGAGAAUUCUUUUUUCGAGGUCGUCUUUUAUGGUGUGCUUGGACAACGGCUGGUGAGUGUCAUGGGAAGGGAGGUGAGUAAUAAUGAAUUGCUUGAGAGGCGACACGUAUCAAGAUCAACGAGGGUCCAACGGUUGUUAGUACGUGUUAGCAUCGGUACUUAUGGAGAUGCAAUUGCUGCGUACAUUGAGAUUCUCUCUGAUGACCGAUUAAAUAGUAAAAAUUUCCACUCUUUUAUUCCCGGAAAUAGUUUUGAAAGAGAAUCACAUUUGUUAAAAUUUUUGUUCCCGAACCCUCUCCUUCAAACGCCGCCCUUGAGAUGUGUCGCAGUCGUCUCCGGCCUCAAACGCUGCCGUCCGCUGCCGGUCGCCGGCGAGCCUCCCCCGGCCACCCGCAAGCCUCGCCUAGCUGCCGGCGAAACAGUCGCUGUGUUAUGGAUUCUCGGCUGAAGAUGUGGCCCGAUCUGCUGCUCCUCUCCGCAGGGCUUUCCGAAUGCAUGAGGCUGUGAUGCCUGGUUCAGCCCGGGGCCCUUCCUUCCUCCUCGACUUCACUCUCCGUCCUUCCCCCUUCUUCCUUCAUUUUCUCGCCAGACACCGUCCUCGUCGAUCCAUCCUCGAAGCCGGAGGUUUUUGUCGGGGGGAGGCCGGGCGAACAUGUCGGUGCUGCUCGUGACGUGUUUAGGGGACAUCGUGGUGGACUUGCACGCCGAUAGGUGCCCCUUGACCUGCAAGAACUUCCUCAAGCUCUGCAAGUACGUCCUGCCCUCCUCUGACCUUCGAUUGCUUCUUCUUCUGAUCUCCUUUGUCCGGAGCUUAUCUAUUAGCUUUGGUAAAUGUGUUCCAUCGAUUUUUGAGCGCAUUCUCUGUUCCGAGGUUGUUCCCGCGAUGGAUCUUCUUUGGCCGUUGUAAAGCGCGCUCAUUUUGCCUUUGAAUUUUUUGCUGAGGUUGAUAUUGGGGCACUAUAUUUUGUUCGGGAAGCAGAGCGUGCGUGUUUGCGGUUCUCCAUGUUUUGGUGACGAGUAGAAAGUUAGUCAUGGGAUGAACCCACUCCUGAGAAUAAUUACCAAUCACGCGCACCGUCUUUCUGUUGAAGAGUAGAGGCUUCUAAGGAUCUUUUCUGGCCAUUUUCAGAUACAUUGUGAGCACCUCAUUAACCCUUUCCCCCCUCCCUUUGCUAUCUUAUCGGUGCAGGAUCAAGUACUACAAUGGGUGUGUGUUUCACACUGUGCAGAAGGAUUUCACAGCACAGACAGGCGACCCCACUGGGACUGGAACAGGCGGCGAUUCUGUUUAUAAGUUAGUGACUUUGCAUUGUUGGCUUUUUGCUAUGAUUGUUCAGUUUUGUGGUCUUUCAUGCGCUUCUAUGAUUUAAACUAAAAGGACCUUAUGUUGAUUAAUGGAAUAGUGGAGGUACUUUCCUUUUGGGUUAGAAAAUAGCGCAGUGUGAUUAAUUCGAAUUACAUCUCCUAUUUUAUUUUCUUGUGCAAAGUAACAGGAGUCUAGUUCUUCACUUUUAUGGGGUGUGAAGUAAACUCAAAAUUAAGAACAAAAAAGAUGUUCUUCUUUCAGUGUAUUUUGGGAAUAUAUAUGUGUCGUCCCACGUGUAUCCUUCAGUUUAAUACAGUGAUAAAUACUUGAAACAAUGAAUUGUAUUCUUUGGAGCAAUAAAGUCUGUCAACGAAGAUCAGAAAGCAUUUCUUACAUUUUCUUUUCAUAGCAAUGGAUGUGAUUUUGAAUGAAUCACCUGAUAUAACUGCACAAAUUGUUCUGUUUCAGAUUUCUUUAUGGUGAUCAGGCUCGCUUUUUCAUGGAUGAGAUCCAUCUUGAUCUUAAACACUCCAAGACAGGAACGGUUGCCAUGGCAAGUGGAGGAGAAAAUCUCAAUGCUUCUCAGGUAACUUUAUUAUGCCGUGGAGUGUUAUUUUGGUAAUAAGAUGCACCGCAUACGAAGGAGGCAGGAAGUUGCACUUUUCAAUGCAGUUGCUUUAUCUACAGUUUUCAAUUUUAAGUCAUUUUCUCCACAUCUUGUCAGACUUAUAUGACCACUCACAAGCUCAAGAUAAUGACUAUUGUUAAUUUAAGUUGAAGUUUUGUUUCACUCUUCAUCCAUACACCUGAAAUGUUGCUUCUACUGACCCUGCGCUUCUACAGUUCUAUUUCACAUUGCGGGAUGAUUUGGAUUAUCUCGAUGGAAAGCACACGGUGAGAUUCUGAUAUGAUUUCUCUGGUCAUCCUCAGUCCUCACUCUUGAGUUCUAUGCUAUGUCUUUGAUGGGUUUUAGUCGCACAAUUGCUGUUAUAUAUUUUUAUCCUCUUUGCGAUAAAGGGAGAUGAGAUGGAUUUUUUUUUCCACAGAUGAUCUUACCGCUAAAAUUUAGUCUUUCACGUUCUUCAUGGAGCCUGAGUUAUGAUUUUGGUCUUCCCUCCUUGCUCUAUAAUGCAUCUCCAAACACAUUCACUAACUAAGAGGUAUAAAUAAGGAUGUACAAACUUCAAUAGGAAGCUCUAUAGAAAGAUCUUUUGAUUGGAAAUUGCAGCUUGUGAUUUUGACAUCUUUAGGACCCAGAACAAUCAGUAUAUUAGUUUUGUUGAAAGGACGAGAGUGAGGCCAGUUUUAGUAUGUGAAAGUGUGACCAAUUAAGUGAGAUAAGAAGUGAUAUGUGCAAAUUUGAUGUCAGUGGAAAAGAAGAGUGUUCUAUUUCUUUGGCUGUAGAAGUGAGAAACAGAAUUAGAAAUAAAGGACAGCUGGGACUUAGCAGUUGGCUGCAUUAAGGAUAUCAUAGGAGGCACAUUGAGGAGGCUCAGGGCCAUUUUGGAUAAUGUUGGGCUCCCAAAUUACUUUGAUAGAAAGCAGGUAAAUAGCUGCCUUAGACAAUAGGCUGUGAAAAGGAAGGUUUUGGCCUCAAGGGGCUUUAAAAUAAUUUUAUCAAACAUCAAAACUGUCAUUCAGAGGAUUUUGCGAGUCCAAAUCUGUUUUGCAGAGUUUCCCAUAUUCACCCUUAGUCGUUCGUGGUGCUGUCUUGUUGAUAUACCAGCGAGAAGGAUUGACCUGAUGUUAGACUAAAAUAAACAAUGGUAGACCAAUUGUCUGAGAAUGAAAAAGAAUGGUAGACCUAGUUGUACAUAGAUAUUGGAAAGAGAAGGCGGUUCAUCUGAAACGUGAUAAACUAAACUGCAAAUCAAAGAGUCCCUGUGGUACAAAGGUAGUCAUUUCCUUGACUCAUUGUGCUGUAACAAAUUUUCUUUGUGCUGGGUUGAUUGAAUUGCUUUUUUAUAUGUUCCUGUGAACUUUUAGGAGAAUAUUAAUUUCAUGCUCCUUUGAUUUCUUGCUAAUCAUUUUAUGCAAGUCUGUGAGGUUCUUUUGCAAAUUGCAAUGUUCCAAAUGGAAAAUUUGGGGUUAAUUUUUUUCCAGCUUUCCUCUCUGUGGACCGUGUUCUCCUCGAAUCUCUCAUUUGGACCUUUAAGACAGAUUACUAGUAAGUAAUCAGAAUUAAUUGAAGCAGCAGUUAGAUUGGGGUUUGCAACAACUAAAAUUUUGAUCUGGCUCCUUUAUCACCUGGCAGUGUGUUUUUUAUUACAUCUUCGUGUAGAAUUGUGUGACUUCAGUUAGUAAAUACCUAUUUGGAAUCUUGUCCAUCCUGGAGUCCAUGCCUAUUGGUUCAAUCAAUUCUAAUUGAGUACGUGUAGGGUAGUCUUGUCAAGUCAUUUCAUUAUUCGAAUGUACCACUACUUUUGUACAUUCUGGGCAUUGAUAUGUGGUUGUAAAUGCGGAAUGGUGUAAAUGGGUUUUAACAAAUUAUUCAUUAUUGUUAGGUGUUUGGUGAAGUUGCAGAAGGCCUUGAGACAU